rnacentral:rRNA from 1 species
UACGUAGGGCGCGAGCGUUGUCCGGAAUCAUUGGGCGUAAAGAGCUCGUAGGCGGCCGGUUGCGUCUGCUGUGAAAUCCCGGGCUUAACCCCGGGCGUGCAGUGGAUACGGGCUGGCUGGAGGCAGGCAGGGGAGAAGUGGAAUUCCCGGUGUAGCGGUGAAAUGCGCAGAUAUCGGGAGGAACACCGGUGGCGAAGGCGGUUCUCUGGGCCUGUGCUGACGCUGAGGAGCGAAAGCGUGGGGAGCGAACAGG